UUUCUAUGAUGACCCAAACUAGCUCACUAUGAUUGACAAUGAAAAUAUAUGAACACCUGAGAAAC
ensembl:snoRNA SNORD29 Small nucleolar RNA SNORD29